rnacentral:rRNA from 1 species
AACGAACGCUGGCGGCAUGCCUAACACAUGCAAGUCGAACGAAGCCUUCGGGCUUAGUGGCGCACGGGUGCGUAACGCGUGGGAAUCUGCCCUUUGGUUCGGAAUAACAGUUGGAAACGACUGCUAAUACCGGAUGAUGUAUUCGGACCAAAGAUUUAUCGCACAAGGAUGAGCCCGCGUAGGAUUGGCGGGUUGGUGAGGUAAGAGCUCACCAAGGCGACGAUCCCUCGCUGGUCUGAGAGGAUGAACAGCCACACUUGGACUGAGACACGGACCAGACUCCUACGGGAGGCAGCAGUGGGGAACAUUGUACAAUGGGCGAAAGCCUGAUCCAGCAAUGCCGCGUGAGUGAUGAAGGCCUUAGGGUUGUAAAGCUCUUUUACCCGGGAUGAUAAUGACAGUACCGGGAGAAUAAGCCCCGGCUAACUCCGUGCCAGCCGCCGCGGUAA